UUCACCAUUUUAAGAGUUUUAGUGAACAAGUUAAAAAAUGGUUGAAUUUCAACCACAAAAUAUAUGGAAAAAUAGCAGCCAUCUUUGCAAGAGAAAUUGUUUGUUUUUUUUUGCAGCUACGCGGUGAAUUCAGCAAGCUGUUUCUUAACUUAUAAGAUGAAGGUUAUCCAAAUUACAAUUAACGCUUGAUCGGAAGAGUGCAAUUGCAAUUGGAAAAUUAUUUAACCUCAUUAGAACGGCACGGACAGAUUUUUCGGCGACUGGCGGUAGCGGCAAACAUCUGAUAGGAACCAUUCUGCUUUGCCAUAUGAUAAAGCAUCUUUCAAGGGUAAUGGUCUGAAAAUUACUUCCCUUCGCUCAUCGAGUUCAAGUCCGAUUUGAAAAGCUGCGAUAGGAAACAUGGGAGGAGCGGUCAGCAUCGAACACCGAAGAUUUCGAUUAAUGAAACCAGAACAAGUUGUCCAU